AAUUUAUUGUUUGUUUCAUUUCAUCACCAUCACUUUAGAGUAGAAAUCUAUAAUUGCAUGGAAAUUAGGAAAGGAAAAAUGAAAAAAAAUAAAAUAAAAUAAUUGGGUUCCAACACAAUUAUUAAAUAAUAUAUCAUGGAAUAUUUUAUCAUAAACAAUGUUUCAUAGAUUUUUAUCUAGUGCAAGAAAUCAUUCUUCCCUAUAUGAUAUUUGUGCACUGUCUUAAGUCUUGUACUCCAAGGAACUUUAGGAACAAAUGGAAGCAAACAAUUACAUCGAUGACUAUCGGUACACCGUGGAAUCCGAGGAGGCUUACACUUAACAUCUAUACAUUCAGAAUCAUUAAUACAAUCGACUGUAAUGAAAAAGAAAACACAAAAAUGUUAUUAAUGAAAAAGAAAACACAAAAAUGUUAAAUGUAAAUAAGAACAUUUUAGAUGGAUAAAAAAUGGCUUACCGUCUUCAACACUUGUUGCACAAGAAAUAGGGAAAGAAAACAGAUCAUAACAUAAAUAAACGUCAUAAGUUUAGCCAUAUAUUUCCCUCUUAAUUUGCAUAUAACAAAUAAAAAAUGAUUUGAUUACCUUGUAAUGUAUAAAGGGCAAACUUUGUUGGCACAAUUUAAAUGGUUUUUACCACGCUUAUAAAAUGACUCUUAACUACAUCGAAGUGUUGUCUUUUGUGCCUCUAACACACGGCAUUGCUUAAAAAAAAUUAAAUUAUUAGAAAUAGUUAUUAUUUAACCUUUCAUGAAAAUUAAAAAAAAUAAAAAAUCACCUUAUAUUGUUUAAAGCGCAAACAAAGUUGGCA
rnacentral:lncRNA from 1 species